CGCGCUGUGGCGUAAUGGCUGGGGGAGCUGGGCUUAUAACUCGGAGGUUGCUGGUUCGAUUCCCAGCUGGGGCUC
rnacentral:tRNA from 1 species